CCACAAGGUGAGACCGGCCUGGCCCGUAAAGCAACACGGCAACCCACCACCUACGUCGUCGUCUCCGCCGCCUUGCUCUAUCCAUCCGUCGGCGAUGCAGGCCGCCGUCGCCUUGAGCCAGAGCCAGGCGUCCCUUCUCGUCCGGCGGCUCCCAAGGCCUUACUACUACGCCGGCGGGCCGGAGCCGGAUGAUGGUGUGCUGCUGCUAGGACGACGAGGCGUGUCGCUCCCGCUCCCGCUCCCGCGGCUGCGGCUGCGGCGCGCCUGUUGCUCCUCGAGCCUACCCGUCGGUACCGGCGCCGGCGCCGGCAGUGGUAACAACCCCCACCUCAUGUUGGUUUACCAUGUUUGUGUUACUUUACCCGUGGUAAGGUAACAAGACCCCCCUGGCCGAUUGCUUUGGAAGCUAGGCUGGAGAGGGUACCUUUGCAGAUUUACCCCCUUCAGGCAAGGGCAAACUUUUCAGAUCAGAUUAUAAAAGUUUUGGCAGUGCCAAGAUAAGUGGAAUCAGUUACUAGGCCAAGGCUAAAAUUUGAGAUAAUACUAUUAAGGAGCACCUGUAUAUGCGUCAGUUACUAACUGAAAACAAAUUCUGUUUUACUGGAAUCCCUCCCCCUCGUAGCCUUCUUCUUUCUCCCACCCGCCCUGCCUAACUGCCUUCUGCCCUCCGACACCUGCCUAACCGCCUAGCGCCGCCGCCACCCCCCCGGCCAUCGCUGUUAAAUAGCAAAUGCGAUAAUAAUAUGGUCUGGCGGUACGAUAUUGUGAUGUGUCAGAGGAAUCACUUCUUAUCACUGUUUCAGUUCAUUCGCUAAUGCCAGUUAUCGGCUUACCGUGGUUAAAAAGAACAAUUCCGUGUGUUCAUACUUCAUAGUUCACGCGCGAAAGAAAUUUGCAUUUUUGUGAAUGAUGUGGAAAUCAGAAUCCUGGCCUUCAGGAAAGACGGUAUAUGGGAAUACAGGACUGCGUGCAAGUUUGAAUAAUGGGACCUAGUGGGCAGUCCUUCCCUUACAAAUGGUGAAUGGCUCCCAAAUACGGAGAUUUCAGUACUAAAACAAGUAGUAGAAGCAAUUCGUGCAAGCGGCAGUACCAAGGGUGAUAUUGAUGCAAUAGGAAGUCACUUCCAUGUUUGCUGUAUUAAUUUACAGUACUGGUGAGUCUCGGCUUGGAAGUUGCCAUGCUGCUCUUAAUUGUUUGCGGUAUCUGUUCUUGACCUGCAUAUCUGGAAUCAAAUGUCCUUAACCAGACGAGUUUUCUUAUUUGUAAGCAAGGUUUGGGAGAAUCAAAUAGUACCUUUUUGCCAUUUUGUUUGUGAGAUAAAUAAAAGUGUCAUAGAAACAAGCAGUCCUGUCCGGUGAAAUUAAUCAACACAUAUUCCCUGUC